CCUACGGGUGACUGCAGUGGGGAAUAUUGCACAAUGGGGGAAACCCUGAUGCAGCGACGCCGCGUGAGUGAAGCAGUAAUUCGUUAUGUAAAACUCUAUUAGCAGGGGAGAAAAUGACGGUACCUGAGUCAGACGCCCCGGCUAACUACGUUCCAGCAGCCGUGGUAAUACGUAGGGGGCAAGCGUUAUCCGGAUUUACUGGGGGUAACGGGGGCGUAGACGGCAGUGCAAGUCUGGAGUGAAAGGCGGGGGCUCAACCCCCGGACUGCUCUGGAAACUGUACGGCGGGAGUGCAGGAGAGGUAAGUGGAAUUCCUAGUGUAGCGGUGAAAUGCGUAGAUAUUAGGAGGAACAUCAGUGGCGAAGGCGGCUUACUGGACUGUAACUGACGUUGAGGCUCGAAAGCGUGGGGAGCAAACAGGAUUAGAUACCCGAGUAGUC
rnacentral:rRNA from 1 species